rnacentral:rRNA from 1 species
CCUACGGGAGGCAGCAGUAGGGAAUCUUUCACAAUGGGCGAAAGCCUGAUGCAGCAACGCCGCGUGCAGGAUGAAGGCCUUCGGGUUGUAAACUGCUUUUAUAAGCGAGAAAUAUGAUGGUAACUUAUGAAUAAGGAUCGACGAACUACGUGCCAGCAGCCGCGGUCAUACGUAGGAUCCGAGCAUUAUCCGGAGUGACUGGGUGCAAAGAGUUGCGUAGGUGGCAUAAUAAGUAGCUAGGGAAAUCUGGUGGCUCAACCAUUCAGACUAUUAGCUAAACUGUUAAGCUCGAGAGCGUUAGGGGUAAGUGGAAUUUCUAGUGUAGGGGUGGAAUCCGUAGAUAUUAGAAGGAACACCAAUGGCGUAGGCAGGUUACUGGGACGGUACUGACACUAAGGCACGAAAGCGUAGGGAGCAAACGGGAUUAGAUACCCGAGUAGUC